rnacentral:tRNA from 1 species
UGGGGUACCUGCUUAGUGACGCCACCUGCUUUGGGAGCAGGGGGUCGCGGGUUCAAAUCCCGCCAGCCCGA